rnacentral:RNase_P_RNA from 2 species
GAGAGAGGAAGGGCGGCCUCCGGGUCUAUGAUCUGAGGAAAGUCUCCCCACCGUCUGAACACACGAACACCUGUGAAGGGUGUCUGGCGAGAGCCAGGGCUCUGGCACAGAAACGAUACCAAGCCAUGCCAAUGCAAUGAUACCGUAAGGUUGAGGUCGUAUGGAAUGUGGAUGGAACGGCGAAUCCUCGUGGGUGCAAGUCAGAAGUAGGGAUAAGCGGUGUUCAGAACGCCCCCGAAGUUAACGACGCUUAGCCGAAUGCCGCAGCUGCAAAUGCCACAGGCUGUCUUUUUAGUGCCAUGCACUUAAGGGAUCUUUGCAGUAACAGAAGGGAGCUUACUCUCCUCACUC